GGAGUGGUAGCCGAGCCAGGUAAGGCGACAGACUCGAAAUCUGUUCUCCGUUGUGUGGAGGCGGCGGUUCGAAUCCGCCCCACUCCGCCA
rnacentral:tRNA from 1 species